AUGCCUCUAAGUCGUGCCUCGACACGUGGGAGAUAUAGCCGCAUCAUGGGCGUUACACAAGUGGAGCGCCAACCUCUGCUCCCCACUAUCAACAAGAUCAAGGCUCUCCUGGGCAAUGGUCUGAACGGAAUCGACCUGGUCCGGGUCUGGAUCUCGUGGCGGGUGAUCCCAUUGAGCCGCCGCCCCGGCUUAAUGUGUGAGUACACGGGCCGAAAGGUUGACCCUCAGCGACACAGCCGCAACGAUCUUCCUGAAGACGUUGCAGAAGAUAUGACCAAGGCUCUUUUGAACGAGAGCCUGGCAGACUGCGGAAGGACCGGGUUAGGCCCCUUCUGCAAGACCAACCCAGCCCCAGCGGCUCACGAUAAGUUCUGGCGGGUCAAAUAUGACCAUGAGGCGGCCAAGAAGGCCAGAAAGGCGAAGAAAGCCGCCAAGAAAGCCGCCCCUCGCAAGAAAGGAAGCAGGCCUACUACUUCAGAGCUGAUGCAGUUAAGCGACAGCUCCGAGUCAGAGGAUGACACCAGCGCAAGUAACCCGGUGGUUGAAGAGGUAAUGUCACUUUCCUCCGACUCGGAGCCCAUGCCAAGGCUGAAAGUCCGAAGGGUAACCUGGAAAGUAAGCUUUUCACAUCCUUUAGCUUAUCGAGAUCCUCAAUUUAUUUUGAAGCGACACGUGCAUGAAAGCCGGCGGCACACCCGGACCGACAAAAGCACUGACCUCUCCUUCGGGUUACCUGACGCAUCGAGGAAACGCCGGACCGAGGAAACUUCCCCCUCUUCCGGCGACUCUAUGCAGUCAAGCCUGCCGGCUUUCAAGACCGUGCCCGGUGCCCAGGCCAAGAUCACCAAGAGGGUGAAGAAGUCCAAGACGGUCGAUGAGCCGGACUUGCCUGAGCCAGAGGCAGCCGCUCAAGAGCCGCCAGCCGCCUCUGCACCUGAGGCCGCUGCCCCAACCACCAAGAUAACUACAGAAGCUUCUGUUAACCCGGAGGCCUCCAGCUCGGCUCCACCAGCAGAUGACCCGGACGUGGUAAUCACCCGGACGGAGUUCGUUGAGCCGGGGAGACCUACCGUGCUGGCCAAGUGCUCCGCCAAAGGGGAGCUGUUAGAGUCGCAUCGGGUUAACCUGGACCUCACCGACUACUCCAACUUGAACAUUGGAGAGAUCGUCUCCGGCUUCGUCAGCCAAGUGCACAAGAGCCGGGACGUAGAGAUUGUUAUGGUGACCCAGAUCCAGCAGAAAUCUGAGGCUGCUGGCAAGAAGCUUGAGGCUGACCUUGCUGAUCUCAAGAACCGGCUGAAGAUGCAAGAGAUGGAGACCCGGAAGGCAAACGCCAAGUUUGUAUCCAGCAUCGCCGCGCAAGAGAAGCUGAAGACAGAGUUUGACGCUAAGCGGAAGGCGUGGGCCGAAGAAAAGGCCGCAUUGGUGACCCGGGCUGAACAGGCGGAGAAGGCUCUCUCCGAGAAGACCGCUGAGCUCUCCGGCCUAAAGCGCCAAGUGUCCUAG
rnacentral:rRNA from 1 species